UGCAAUAAUGUUUUGAAUAGAAUGUGGAAGUCUCACAUUGAGUCACAUAAGUGGAAGAAUAGGGAGGGUAAGCAGAUAAAUAUAGCAACGGAAGGCUAUUACCAUCUCUUUUCAUCUUUAUUCUUUCUCUAGAGAGAGAACCCCUUUUCUUUCUUAUUGCUCUCAUCCAUGUGAUGAUGCGAUUUCACAAUGCCCAUCUUAUUGCUCUCAUCCGUGCGAUGAUGCGAUGUCACAGCCCUCAUCCUCCUCAACACCCAUUAGCAAAGGCAAAAAAAAAAAGAGUUCUCUCUCUAGGUCAAGGAUAAAGAUCAACCAUCCUCUUCAACACGCAAUAGCAAAGGGAGAAAAAAAGGGGUUCUCU
rnacentral:lncRNA from 1 species